GGACUAUUGGACCAGGGUUUUUGACCACAGGACUCUUGCUUCACACGGUAGAAGUCGCCAGUUCAAAUCUGGCAUCGCCCACCA
rnacentral:tRNA from 1 species